UUCGCUUUAAAGAUUGAUGCAACAAAUCGUCUUGAAAGAUUCGCAGAGCAAGAAUAGUAAUACAAUUGUGUGUCUAACACACUAGGAGGAACAAACAUGUUACAAGGUAAAGUAAAAUGGUUUAACGCAGAAAAAGGUUUCGGUUUCAUCGAAGUUGAAGGUAGAGAAGACGUAUUCGUUCAUUUCUCUGCAAUCCAAGGCGAAGGUUACAAAACUUUAGAAGAAGGUCAAACAGUUUCUUUCGAAAUCGUUGAUGGAGCUCGUGGACCACAAGCUGCUAACGUUACAAAAUAAUUGAAGCGAUAGCUCAUACAAAGAACUUCUCUUUUUGAGAGGUUCUUUUUU
rnacentral:sRNA from 1 species